UACAGAGGUGCCGAGCGUUAGGCGGAAUCACUGGGCUUAAAGCGUGUGUAGGCGGACUUCUAAGUACCUUGUGAAAUCCCACGGCUCACCCGUGGAACUGCUGGGUAUACUGGUCGUCUUGAGCCACCUAGGGGCGAGCGGAACAAAUGGUGGAGCGGUGAAAUGCGUAGAUAUCAUUUGGAACGCCAACGGCGAAAACAGCUCGCUGGGGGUGUGCUGACGCUGAGACACGAAAGCCAGGGUAGCGAACGGG
rnacentral:rRNA from 1 species